GAGGAAUAGUAUUGGAAGAGAAAGUCCAACAAACUUUUUAAAAAUGAUGUUAGUUUUUCCAAUAUUAUGGUUAUUUUAAUAAAAACACAAGUUUUCUCAGUUGGACUAAAGCAUCAGAGGGAUUAAGCCAAUGUCAACAAAACACAAAAGUUAAAACUACGAUAUUCGCACAAAAGGAUUGUUAUUUUAUGGACUGCAUUAAUAAUCCUGGUUGAAUUUCAAAUAGAAAAACAAAAGCGUUCUGAGGAGGCAGCAAUAACUCAUGCUCUGCUGCCAGACGUUGUUCUAUAGCAGAUAACUUUAUUUAAAAAUCUACUGUGGAGGACCGAAGAUCCAAAGAUGCACAAUAUGUCAAACCAAAUUUAAGGGAGUGUGUGUAAAAUGAUGCACAAGGCAGCUUGAAUAUUUCUGACUGAUGGUCUCUGCCUCCAUAACAUAAAUGCAGUUUGGAGAUGACAUAUUUUAUUGAGCAUAAACACUGCAUGGCACCAAUGAGGACACGAACAACACAGUGAAAUGAUUCUUAAAUAACCUAAUUAAAAAAUUGUAAAAGGCGUUUUACAUAUAUAUUUUACAUCCUAUACAUCAAACUCUAUAAGGCUUUAGAGAUCUAAUAUUUUUCCACUCCUACCCAAACCUCUGCAGAAGAUUAGUGUUGUAUUAACACAGUGUCAUUUUUCUAUCAGCAUUCUGCUAUUAAGCAUGAUUAGCAUGCACAGUAGACUGCUGAUCUGCUCUGUGAACAAGCAGGGGAUGUUUAAGCAAAAAAAAAAAAAAAAAAAAAGAAGGAAAAUUUUAAAAACCACUCCCCCCCUCUUCUCCCUGCAGAGAAAACAAUGCUGUAUGAAGGAGAAUAUUAGCAAGUGUGCUGCAGUGAUGAACAUUUCCUCCUGUUUCAUGUUUAACCCUGCUCAUUUCCCACAGUAAGAACUCCGGAAACACAAGAGUGUGCGCAGCAGCUCGGGGGGAAGAUGACUGAUGGCUUGUUGUCAUGAUGUUUGGGAUUGUGCCGACUCGAAGCCUCUUGGCUCAGUGAAGCUGUGAGGCACUGCCGAUACAUACUACAGGGCUAUUGUUGGAAAGUCCUGGAAUUAGUAAGGUAUUGCUUCGUAGUCACACUGUUGAGCCUGUGCUGGAUGCACUUAGCUGUAAUGUCUCUGGCCAUUUGCACAGUAGUUACAUCAGAUCUGUGCUUAAAGUUCAUGUGCUGUGACUGAUUUCAUAGCAGUCAACCACAAAGAAAAGACAAUCAUUAGGAGCUGUACCAUGAAGAGAUGUCUUUUUUUUUAGACAUCUAAAUUUUACGAGAUGUUUUUUAUGUCCAAACAGCAGGAGAAAAAAAAUACAACAAUAAAGCUGCCAGACAUCUUGACACCCAUAUUAUUUGGAUAAUGUACACUCUGUGUAAUGAUUGUAGACUAACCAUUCUCUGUGAAGCACUGUACACAAGUCUAUAUAAAAGAACAUUAUACAAGCUGUCAAGAAAAUAUAUGGUAUUUAUAGGUGAGAGAAAAUAAUAGCAUAACGUCACCUAUUAAAACAAGUCAUUUUUGAGGAAAAUGAGUUUUUGGCUUAAAUCAUCUCUUGAUAAUUCUGGCCAUCUCUGGUAAAAUCGCUUAAAUCCUUAGUUGAAAGGAUCAUGGCAUGAUCCUUUCAGCUAAGGAUUCAGGCGAAAAAUGACUUAGGCUAUUAUUUUAAUAGGGUGACGAUAGGAAGGUAGAGGUCACCAGUCUUGGUUUUUAUACUUCCCAUUUUGUGCAUCUUACAAUUAAGUCAAACUCUUUAUUUCAGUAAAAUGAAUGUGAGUCUUCCUGGCAGAUUUUUGCGUUUUCAAGUUGUACCCCCCGGAUUGUGUGUGGGCUAAACCUUACCUCUGACAUCACUAUUUUUCAAAAAUGUCAAUACUUGAAAAACACAGACAUGCUCUAUCAAUCAUAAAGAUAGCCAUCUUUUAGCCGCUCAGUGUGCCACUCUUGAAUGUUUGCACUGACCCCCCCUUUCUCUCUCUCUCUCUCUCUCUCUCUCUCUCUCUCUCUCUCGGCUUCUUUUUUUACCUUACAGCUCUAUCAUAAUGCCACAUUGAUGAGCCUGAGCUCCAUAAACAUGGCAUAGAUGGCUGUCAUUUUCCUCGUCCAUGGAACUACAUUAACAGCUCUGACCUCUCGAGCUUGUUGGCGAGACCCGUCUGUCAGCACAACUUAAUUCCCAGUCUUGUGAGGGUCAAGAGCUGACACAUAAUGAGGCCUGACAGCAUUGGAGGGCCACAUGGGGGUCUGAUGUCAGCAGAGGUAGCAUGGAUGAGGGUUCAAUCCUGAAGUACUGAGGUAAUCUGAGCACGGACGGCGCUGAUCCCGGGGCCUCAACCGCCUAUUGACACACAUCAGAGCAUGGACGCAAAACAAAUUAGCAUCAGUCAAUAUUGUCUCUCCUGCCCCCCUGACAGAGCCACACAAGAGCGGCCAUGUUUACCUCACCUCCAGUCACAACAACUGGAAAGUCUCUGCUCCUAGUUUUGAAAGGAUGUCUCUUUUUUGUAUUUUGGAGGGUUUGGGGGAAUAGUUUCUGUUGUUUUUGUAAAUGGGAUGCAGAUUUUGGUUUGGGGGAAAUCACCAAUAUUCACCUAAAUUGUAGGGUUAUCCUCUGUCUUCUAUCUCAUGCAGAAUAUGUGGUUUAGGGGAAACAAGCUGUCCUCAGCUGAAGAUCACUUGUGCGUGUGUUUUUUUUUAUGUGAUAAUAUAACUUCUGUUGCAUAAAAGUGCUGGUCAGUGAUGUGGAACAGCUCUUCAAAUAUGCUAAUCAGACAUAUGGCACUUCCUGGAACAAACACUGAUUGCUGUUUUUGUCCUACCAGACAAAAAGGUUACUUGGUUUUUUAAAUGUAAUUUGUCUGAAGGCUGUGGGCUGAAGGAGCUGCUGCAUGUUUUUUAAAAAUCCUUUUGCAUAGGGGGGAAAAAAGCAGAAAUUGCUCACACCUGUUUUUUCUUCUUCUUUUCCCCUCUCUGCAACCCCUUACCCCCCCCCCUUCCCUUCCUUCUCUCCCUCCCUCCCUCUGCUGAAAGCCAUUACAGAAAUACAAUUUCUAAUACCUCCGCACAGGUCUUCGAUCGACUGCAAACAAAUUUAUAUUCAGGCGGUAAACAGAAAGCUGCAGAGAUUUAUUUAUUGAGUGUGGAGGAGAGAAACAAGCGAGCGCGUGAACCCUGAGUAACCUCCGAGCUGACAUGAAGAUGGAUCAGCGCGCGCUGCAAAUGCAUGAAGAGAGGGGAUAUAUUGCACUCAGUCAUUCAGCACAUCGCUGCCUGUAGAAUCCCAUUAACUUCCACAGCUGGGACCAUAUUUCUGUGUUGUAAGGAUGCAGUUAGAAGUUGUUCAUUACGCUGAAUUAUUUUGUAAUUACUGCAGACUUUAAAGACAUAGUAAGGAUUGUUGGAAGAAUAAAAUGAUAAGAGAGUAACAGACACUUUGGGCUUUUUUUUUAAUCGGAUGUUACGGGUGGUGGUUUUGUGCAGUGGGUCUAAAGUGAAAAUGACAUAUCAAUAACAUAAUCAUAAUAGGAUCAUAAUAAAAAAAGUUGCAUGGUUUUAUGGCUUUAAAUCGACACGUUGAAUGUAUUAGUUAUUGUAUUUUUCCUAUUAUUGAUUUUAGCUAGUAGGCACGUGUUAAUAAAUCAUUCAAAUCAAUUUUAGUGGUAAAUAAUGAAAUGUAGAAAAAUAAUUUCAAUAUGGUCUUGUUCACAAACCGAUAAAAGAGAACCAUGUCUGAGGUGAGAGGUAUAAAAAGAAAAAAAAAACUAUAAGUCUGAUACAUUAAAGUGGUGCUUUUAUUUAAAGUUACAGUGAGAAUAAGAGAAAAUCUGAAAUUCUUGGUUGAAACAAAAAAAAAAUGAGACAGUUUAAAUAUCAUAAUCAAAUUUGUGUUGGCUCUAUUGAUAUUUUCUUCACCUGAGCUGAGCCGUGUGAUUUUGAAAGUAGGUCACCAGACUUGAAGAAAAAAAAAAACUUGAGCAGCAGUGAGGAGUUACUUCACAGUUUCUCCUCUGUGCUGGGGGUGAUAGCAUCGAGCAGCUGAUGACUUUUUGAGGAGGAUAUCUAGUGUUGCAUAGUCUAAAUGAGUUAUGGUUUUUGAACAAAGUACACUGCUGGUUCUGUAGAUACACUUUGUAAAUGUAAUUUUUUUUGUUUUGUUUUUUUUUUUUUUGCAUUUGAAACUUUUAUUCUGUAUCAAAUUACAAACUUCACAAAUUUACAAAAGUGGUCCAUUAAUGACAAAAGAAGCACAGCUCAUUAACAAUAUGAAAAUAAGUCCAGUAAGUGAGACACGUAUAGGUCAUACUCCAGUGACCUGUCAUUUUAAACCUAUGUCCAGUUAGCUCAGCUCUAGAGUGUAUGUAACUCCAAGAAGUUCAAGUAGUUUCUCCCAUUUCCCCUGAAUCCUCCCAUUUAUGUAAUGUCCCAAUUUUUCAAGAGUCAGAAUCUCACAUAAUACAGAUUUCCACAUUGUUUCCAUAUUGUUGAAUUUGAUUUUGUCAUCUAGCUUCACAUGUUUGCACACACAUUAAAAAUUAAACACAGAGAUGUGUUAGAGGAAUAAAGUCUAUGACACAAAUCAUUAUUAUUUUUGUCAGUCAAGCUCUAUUUUUCCCCGCGGAUGAAUCAGAAGUUCCUCUUUGCCUCUCUGUCAAACUUUUGAUCCCCGCUCGCAGCCAUCUUCUUACAAGUAUUUGUUCGAGGCUAAUUACAAAUCUGCUGCAACUGAACUUCUAAAUACCAGCUGUCACGACCUCUGAACCCAUUAAGUGUGCCUUUCACAUGACCUAAGCCCUCUGCUGAAGACGGCCUCGGGUUUUUUUUUCAAGGAGCCGGCGCAGAUUUGCAUAAUCCAUUAGCUGCAUCAAUGUAGCUCUAUAUUAUGCUAAUUUAGCCUACUCUUUGGGAACAGAAGUUAGCAUUGUUGGCGUGAAAAAUAAUCAGAAAAGCAGAGUUUGACCCAAAACACAUUUCUCAUGAAGGGCCAACAAUAACACGUGUUUGAUAUAGCAAAGUGACGUCAUAGCCUACCUGUCUGCAAAGGUGAGAGGCGCACUGAGGCCCUCAGCGUCUGCUAAUGGACUUAAGACUGCUCUGUGUUUUUGGAUGGCACCUCUAAAAUGUUGAGUUUCCUCAGUGUUUGUCCUCUCUGAUGACAGAGAUGUCCAGCUAUUGGCCGAGACCAGGAGGGCACGUCAUCUCCAUCAAUCAGGGACUGCUGGUUCUCCUCUGAGGAAUGUCCCCACGCUCGUGCAGCUGCCUGACCACGCGUUACUGGAUGCACGAGAGGCCGG